GCUAGGUGUGGUGGCGUACACCUAUGGUCUCAGCUACUUCGGAGGCUGAGGCAAGAGGAUCACUUGAGCCCAGGAGGUCGGGGCUGCAGUGAGCUAUGAUUGUUCCACUGCACUCCAGCCUGGGUGACAGAGCAAGACCUUGUCUCCA
ensembl:misc_RNA Metazoa_SRP Metazoan signal recognition particle RNA